AUUGAACGCUGGCGGCAGGCCUAACACAUGCAAGUCGAGCGAGUGGCGGACGGGUGAGUAAUGUAUGGGGAACUGCCUGAUGGAGGGGGAUAACUACUGGAAACGGUAGCUAAUACCGCAUACCAUCAGAUGUACCCAGAUGGGAUUAGCUUGUAGGUAAGGUAACGGCUUACCAAGGCGACGAUCCCUAGCUGGUCUGAGAGGAUGAUCAGCCACACUGGGACUGAGACACGGCCCAGACUCCUACGGGAGGCAGCAGUGGGGAAUAUUGCACAAUGGGCGCAAGCCUGAUACAGCCAUGCCGCGUGUAUGAAGAAGGCCUUCGGGUUGUAAAGUACUUUCAGUCGGGAGGCGUUACCGGCAGAAGAAGCACCGGCUAACUCCGUGCCAGCAGCCGCGGUAAUUC
rnacentral:rRNA from 1 species